GAAGGGUCGUGAACAGGAAGCUUCUGGCGAUUGGAUGACUCAUAACCCUGGUUCAUGCCAUAAGGGUUGGAAGGAUAUCUCCCAUUAUCCUCAAUGUCAUCCAUUGAAGCACAAGAAACCAACCAAGUAUCAACUACUACGACACACAAAUACCUAGAGGGAGUCUAAGUUAAACUUCCAAGCACAAUGUUUUCUUGAUCAAUUUCAAUCCAUUUUAACUCCAAAUUAACACUUUAUUCCUAGCAACUAGAUGAACAAGUUUCUCCAUCAUAUUUAUACCAUCACAAAAACCUCAAAAAAUGGAAUCUUGUUC
rnacentral:misc_RNA from 1 species